rnacentral:lncRNA from 1 species
GGCGGCUAAGAUCGAGACUGGAGAAGGGAGAAGGGAAGGCGGGGAUAUACUGGGGGCGUCCUUUAGUCCCGGGUCCAGCCAUGGCCUAGGACUAAAAGAUAUGGAUAUCACGGCUCCUGAUGCAACCACACCUAUGGGAUAGUAAGGGCAACAAGAUCAUAUAAUUAGAGAUCAAGCUUACAUGCCUAAUUCUCAGGUAAAUUCAUUUCUAGUUGUCCAUACAUAUAGUUCUCAUAAUUGGAUGCUACUAAACCAUGAUGAUGAUUUAUUUAUAUUUAGAAAUAUGAGAGAAGAACCAGCCAAGGGUAAGGGUGCGAGCAGCAAGUUUGCACCUGGAGGAAGAUUAUACAACAGUCAGUUCGGACCAAGAGGAAGCAAGUUCGGACCAUCCUUUCGGACCACGCGUUCGGACCUACAUGAAGCGCUAGAUUGAAAUGACAAUAAUUCUUCACUCCAAAGGUUGCUUGAGGCCCAUGAGUACUUGUUGAAAAGAUUUUGAAGUCUAUUUUCAGAUGGAUCCAGCAUCAUAAUCAGAUUCAUCCGAAGCUGAUCAUAAUCAGCCAAGAACCUCUAGUUUGAACAGAACCCCAACCGUUGGACCUACGGGCCUUAUUUUCAAUAUAGCCCAUGAAGGGAGCGUCUUAGGGUUUGGAUGGCUCAUCCAGGACGUUCUGGUAGCAGCCUUCCCAUCCCAUAAAUAGAAGUAGCAGCCGUCAUUUGAGAUUUGGAUUUUGUGUUGUUGAAAGUUUAGCUAUUGCUACUUUUUUGUAAACGCGUGUGCUGAUCAGACCAUCCGAUUUGCUUGAUUCAGAACCUCAACUUCGUGUGUAUCAAAUUUAUCCCUUAGGCAAGGUCUGUGUGCUGUUUGCUUGUCCACUUGUUCUUACUUGUUCUUCGAUUUGCUUACAGGUUCAAGGUUGUUCUUGGCAUAGGAAUAACAGCACGUAUCGGAGGCGGUGUAACUAUCGCUAAAGCGGAACCCAUUGUGGUGUUGUAACUGAGCAGCAUAAAGGUCUAAAGGUCCCGGGUGGAGCCACAACCUGGGACUAAAGGUCUUUAGUCUCGGGUCGUGGCUGGAUCCGGGACUAAAGGGAAAUUUUGGCAGGCUACGUACCAAUUUCGGCCCACCUUUAGUCCCGGAUGGAUCUACCACCCGUGACAAAUAGUGUCUUGUUCCAGUUUUUGGGUAUUUUUAUUUUGUUUUAUUUAUUUUAUAAAUAGACCGACAGUUGUUAAUUGCGUAAAAAGUAAUUUAUGGGUUAAAAAGAUG